CGCCAAGCCAGCAGCGCCACGCCUCUGCUACGCGCACGCAGGCAGCAGCACCUCAGACAACAACCACGCAACAGCACCAGCACACUCAGUCCCCUUGCUGCCCGGGAACCUGCUGAGGAGGACGAUGACCACAACCUCUCCCCGAGAUGACGACAAAUAUGAGCGGAGGAAGCCACCAUGGAUUCGUUGUUUAGGACGUCAUGGCCCUGGUGUCGGCGUCAUCUCCGUGUCGGCAAGGAGGUAUGGGCUCUAAACUAGAGGAUACCGGGUUCUCCCCUCCUCUCUCUGGUUUCUAUGGCAUCUGGACGAUGCACAUGCUGGAUACUCACUAACGAGUUCAUUGACAAUUUCAACCAGGAGAAGAACAACUUAAUUUUUAUUUAAUUGAUUAUUUCGUGAAAUUAAUUGGUGCCUUCAAAACCUCUGGUACAAUUCAGUUUGGUAGUUCUGAAGUUGGCAUGUCUGCUCCCAUGUUACAGUUUGGUUUUGUGGAUUUCUUCCAAAUGUAUUCAAGAUUAUGUGCUGCACCAGAUGUAGUUGCAAGUGAACUAUUAGCUUGACAUCAACAUUACCGUGUAGGGAUUAAUGCCAAUCUCUGGGUAUGUUUACAUUUUGCAGUGAACCUGGUGUUGCUAUUUCAUUAGGAUAGAAUAGCUGAAGUGAACAAUUUACAAUAGCCACUAUAACAUAUUGUUAGGGAACAUUUUACCAUCGGGCAGUCCAAGCGAUUCUUCAGGCCAUAUGCCCGGUGUCGGUGCUUCUUCGUUAAAGAUUUGUCCUAGACUCCUAUCUCUUUGUGCUAAUAUUCUGCUUAUCUUUGUUAUUUUGGUGCACUCACUGUUAUAUUGCAAGCACUCCAGUGGCUUGACUUUUUUAUAUUUAUAUAUAUUUUAGCAUUUCUCCAUAGUGAAUUAGAUUAGUUUUCUAAUAGAAUGAAAACCUGCAGAUGCUAUACUUUUCAAAAGUGGAGAUGAAAAUGAAGCCAUUGUUCGUUAGGGCAUGGGAUAGGAGUCAUCAAAUAGAAAAACUACGCGGACUAAACUUUCCAGUAGUAUAACUCAAUAUGAAUUGUUAUAUUUGCAAAUGCCUGAAGCCAUUGGAGUGUCUGCUAGCCUCGAAAACAUUUUGUAUUUAUGUGGUGGUGUAUUUUUCAUAUUAUGCUGAUUUAUCUUAAACUAUAGAUAAAUUGUGAGGCAUUGAUGUGUUCUCCUGUCGGACAACCCAUUCCGAACAACACCUGAAAGGGUGGUUUAUGUUUCUAGGUGCACUUGGAAAGUAAUAAACUGGUAGAAAAUUAAUGCUAUUUUACACUAUGCAAUUAGACAAAGUGGAUAUGCUCACUUCUUAGUGGCGGUGGAGGGUACUGGCAUUUGUUUUUUGAAUUCCAAUUUAGAAUUCUAAUGUACCUAAUGUUUAAGAAUAAAUUUCUAUUCCCGAAUCCGCUUCCUAUAUCUUUGCCAUUCACUAUGUCUGAUUGGCCUAAUGUUUCCUAUAUAUUUUGCCAUAUCACUUGACCUCACAUAGCCAUGUUAAAUUUCCUUUUUUAACUCUGUAUUUUUUAAUUGUUCCAUUGGUUUCUUGGCAUCAAUUUAUGGAUAUAAAUUUUGAAAAUUUCCUUCAUUUCUGGAUUUGGUCAUAAACUUUGAUUCUUUUUCGUUAGAAAGUUCUAGAAUAUAUAAUAUACGAGCCAGUGGAUUUGAUAUGGGUAGUGCAAUUUCAAGUGCAUCUGGAUGCUUUGGUUUGGUUAUGUGCACACAACGUGCUAUGAAAUGUCUAACGAAAAACAAUUUCGCAUCUUGCAGGAAUUAUUGCAGGUGAUGGAAGAGGAAAUGUACUUAGGAAGUGAAUGAGCAAUUAUUGCCGCAUCUUUUAUUUUGUAGGUUUGCUCCAUUCUUGCCUUAUGUGAUGUAUUUGAUGUAUGGUUUUAUUUCUGUAUGCUUGAAUAAUUUCAGUUUAUUGCCACUGUUUCAAAUAUUAUUUUACCACUGAACAAUCAAUAGUAAAGCUAACAAGGCCAGCGCUUUGAGGAGAACACACAGCCAGUUCAGAAGGACGACAGGAAGAAGAGAUCGACCCUGCAGGUUUGACAUUUUUGUGGCAUAUUACUUUCAGCGGUCUAAUGUGAUUUGUGCUUGGUUUUAUUUAUACACAUUGCUCAUAUUUGUUUCUUUUUCUUUUAAGUUUAUUUCUCUCUGUAAGGAUCAUUGCAUCCUAAUUGCUUGUUGUCCCUCUUGAUCUGUGGGCGAUGAAACCCCAGACAUCAGAAAACACUCUGAUGCAAAUGGUGUUUAUUUGUUAGAAGUGUCAUUCUUGAGUUUUUUGUGUGAGGACGCCGAGUAUAACUACCAAGAUACCUGUGAGAACCUCAAGAGCAUGAUAUUCCUUGUUGCUUAUUAUGAUUGACAUGCCCAAGCCUGGUAUUUCAUUUGGUUCUGCCAGGAUAGGAGAGGAGGUUAGUUCCUUGCUUUUACCUUCUAAAUAUGUGAGCUUACUUCUAAUUGUUUUAGAGUGUUCUUGAUUUUUAUUGCUUGAUUACAUCUUUAACUUAUUUCCUUGAUUAACUUGGUUCGGUACCGCUGCUACCUCUUUAACUUAGUUCCUUGAUUAUUUCUUCAGAGCUUAUGCAUGCAUCAAUCUCUUGACAACUGGGUAGCAGCAGGUGCCAAUAUUCCAUCUGCGAUGCUACUUGUGGCAAUUAAGGCCAAUUGAACUUGUCCUGAUAAGCGAUUCUUCUACAAGUCUCUUACCAAGAAUUGCAUGCAAUUCUACUGUCUGAUGUUUGUAAGACUAAAUGGCAAAUAAGAUUGAUGUGUUAGUCACUUUUCAGCUUCAGAAUUAAGAUGGACAUUUUCCAAGUAAGCGUGACUUUGCUUGUUGACUUGUGCUCUUAUAGACUUGCAUUACAUGCACUUGUGAAAUAAAAGAAGGCAUUUGUUCAUGAAAUCAAACAUAAGAGUUAACACAUUUGUAGUUUUGGGAAAAAAAUGAUUUUUGUACCUCGGUUGUUUUGAAGAUGCCACUUUUCUUGAAGUAUGAAUGGGUAUCUUUAGUUUGAAAUACAAUAAUAAAUAUGCGUUGUUUCCUCUGGUGCACCUCUACUAUUUACUCACUCAAUUGCCUGCACUAAUUUAGCCUUUCUUGCAUCAAUUGUUAACAACUCACGAAAGCAUUCAUAGACUUAGUUAGUUAUUGUUCAAUUGAUUAUUGCUCAUUUGAUUGCUUCUGUUUCAGUAGUUCAUCGAUCUCUUGAUGCUCCAAUAGCAGAGCUUGGUGUCGCAUUAUUUGUGGUUGAGCUUUUCUUUUCUUUGGGAUCUUCGAUACCAUGUUUUGUUACUUUUGUUCUAAUUUAUAUUUCUGAAGUUUAUAUUACAAGUAUGGUCAGGUACAGAAAGUAAAUGAGAGUUUCAUUUUCGUAGAUAUCAUGAAUUACAAUCCAGCAAUUUAAUCAUUAGGAUUCGUGAAUCAUGGUCGCUAUUUUGUACAAAUUUUGCAUGCUCCAGUUUAUGGAUAGCCCUCUGAGAACUUCUUUGUCUUGUUUUUAUUUUUCAGGGGUACAAAAAGAAUUGGAAUGAAUGAUUAUAUUCAGACACGACCCUUCAAAGUUAUGGAUAUUCCUACAGUCGACGCCUGCUGAUCUACAUGAUUUGGAAGGUCCAUAUGAGCUCCUCCUUCUGGUGAUGUUAGGCAGUGAGGUGAUUGGAAAGAUCUUGCUUGUCUCUCCACAUCUGGUGACCCAUACCUAACUGAAGAUCCUACGUCCCUUCAAAGCUAUGGAUAUUCCUACAGGUAAAUGAUCGCCCUAAUACAUUCACUUCGGCUACAAUGCAGCUAGCAGCACAAAUUUAUUUAUCAACCAGUGAACCUACUGCUUAUGCAAUUGAACAAAUGGAUGAGCUUACAUGUCGAUAGGGUUGCUUGUAUGUGCAUUUCUCCUGUAUAAGUUUGCUGCAGCUAUUUGAUAUACAAAAAUUCAGAGAAUGCUUCAGGUUAUGAGCAUCAGUGCAAUUAUUCCCGGGCAAACUUCAGCAGCUAGGUUCAGAGCAUGCUUCAACUCAUGAAUGUUAUCUGGAUGUUUGUUAUAUAUAACUUGAUAUGUCUUUGAUUUUAUACCUCAUGACUAGGAAUAUCAUCUGUCAUUUAGGUGAUGCUUCAGUUCAGGCAUGGCCAUAAGAAUUUGGAUGCCGUCAUAGGACUGCAGCCCCAUUUUGGUGAUAUUUUGAUUUUGUAUCUGUUGUACAAAAUUUCUACUCACAAAGAUAAUUCGGUGGUUUAUUAUUUAUAGCUUUAGGCAAUGGAAGCAGAUCACGCUAUAGAUGUCUUUGAUUUCUACUCACGCUGUAGAUGAUGAAAAUAGUUCUAUCUUUUUGGGUGUCCCAUGCCGAUGUUCGAACCUCACUAUGGCAUUUGGAGAUAAAAUCUUGGAUUGAUUUGCUAUGAAGGGAUAUAAUUGAGUAUUCUCCUGUGCAUAUAUUUAUCUAGCACUUCGAGUUGCUGCCUUCCACGCAACCUUGUGUUUUUCUAUUUCAGAGAUUUGCUGAGUAAGAAGAAAAGAUAAUGUUGUUCUGUAGAUCCUAAUUUUUCGUUCAUCGCAUAUUGCCUUUUCUUUUAGCAUGAACAUUGCUUAGUUGCACUCUCAGCAUUGCCGAACAGGCCUUUCCACUAUUCAAGUAAAUGUGGUCAAAAGAUUUAUCUACUAUUUUAGGGACAACUCCCUUGGGAAGGUUACAAGGAUGCCUUAUGUUUAAGUUCCUAAUGGAAUGUUGCGUUUUCCGUGAUCCCACCAUUUGUACAGAGCCAUUUUUCCCUCAAGGUACAAUAAAGAGUUAGAGAGAUUGUUGUAUUUGGAUGUUCUUUAUGAAAAUUCAAAAAUAGUUUCCUGCACACCACUUUAUUUUUCUAUAUUCUCUCCUAAUUUAUUCAUGUACAUCAGUAUGAUUUUAAAUGCUAUCUCCUAAAUAUUUCAGUCUCUUGGGUUCCUACAUUUGUGUCCAGAUCUAUGUAACUAUAGACUACACACGAGUGGUGAACUUAAGUAUUGAGCGAGGGAAGAAAAUGUCACCAAGGUAACAUACUGAAACGGUUGAGGGCUGGUUUCUGAGAAAUUUACCGUUUACUACUCUCCUAAAAAGGCAUGUACUAACAUUCAGGGAGUAAGAUACAAUUAUGAACAAGCAACGCCCCUUCAGUUUAAGCAAUAAUUUAAUUUAAUUAGGUUGAAUUCAAUGUGUAAUUUUAUUCCCCAGUAUAUCUAUGAUAUGCUAUUUGUAUAGAGUUUUCUUCUUUCGAAAACGGAAGUCCCAUCAUUUGCUUGCAUAUUUGUUUGCCCACAACCAAAAUAUGGCUUUAUUAAACUGAACAUUCUUUAACUUUUGUGCUACAGCUGAGAGCAGGUAUUAUUCCCUCAUCAAGCAUGUGAUUCAAUCUAUUUGAUGUUAUCAAGUGAUGUCAUAUUGCUGAGAAUUACUGCAUUAUUCAAUCUAUUAGCAACAUUCAUGUACUAUUAUUUUGCCAAUGGUUUACCUUAACUGUGUAUUCCUAGAUUGACUUAGUGUUCUGACUUAUGACAACUUAUGGCUUCCAAGAUUACUUCAGCCCAGUACAUUAUAUCGAUGCAACAGUUAAAGGAAGAGGCCUACCACUAUAACUUCGAUGGGCAUCCUACAGAUUACGAGGUUUGAUCAUCGUUACCUGAACUAUCACUACUUCUUGUGUGUCACUACCUCUAGUGUCUGUUUUGAGUAUUGAUCUCUGAUCAUGGAGUCAUUGUGUUUGAACAGCUCUGCUUUAAACCUGAAUGGUACCCCCUCCCUGUGUUUAGCUAUUGUAAUCUCUGAACAAUGUGUUCAUGUACCUAUUGUAAUAUAUUUCCCUAUUUUCUCA